CACGUAGGGUGCGAGCGUUGUCCGGAAUUAUUGGGCGUAAAGAGCUCGUAGGCGGUUUGUCGCGUCGGCUGUGAAAACUCGGGGCUCAACCCCGAGCCUGCAGUCGAUACGGGCAGACUAGAGUGCUGUAGGGGAGACUGGAAUUCCUGGUGUAGCGGUGAAAUGCGCAGAUAUCAGGAGGAACACCGGUGGCGAAGGCGGGUCUCUGGGCAGUAACUGACGCUGAGGAGCGAAAGCGUGGGGAGCAAACAGG
rnacentral:rRNA from 1 species